AGCUCCAAAAGUGUAUAUUAAAGUUGUUGCAGUUAAAAAGCUCGUAGUUGCGUUUCUGUUGGGAGGGAUCGUUCCAUGCCUCUGGCUUGGAUUCGUAUCGUCUCCUGACAUCCUUGGGUGGAGCCAUUCUGGCAUUAAGUUGUCGGGGUGGGGAUGCCCAUCAUUUACUGUGAAAAAAUUAGAGUGUUCAAAGCAGGCUUAUGCCGUUGAAUAUAUUAGCAUGGGAUAAUAAGAUAGGACUUUGGUACUAUUUUGUUGGUUUGCGCACCAGAGUAAUGACGAAUAGGGACAGUUGGGGGUAUUCGUAUUCAGUUGUCAGAGGUGAAAUUCUUAGAUUUAUUGAAGACGAACUACUGCGAAAGCAUUUACCAAGGAUGUUUUCA
rnacentral:rRNA from 1 species